CGUUAAUCGGAAUUACUGGGCGUAAAGCGCACGCAGGCGGUCUGUCAAGUCAGAUGUGAAAUCCCCCGGGCUUAACCUGGGAACUGCAUUUGAAACUGGCAGGCUAGAGUCUUGUAGAGGGGGGUAGAAUUCCAGGUGUAGCGGUGAAAUGCGUAGAGAUCUGGAGGAAUACCGGUGGCGAAGGCGGCCCCCUGGACAAAGACUGACGCUCAGGUGCGAAAGCGUGGGGAGCAAACAGGAUUAGAUACCCUGGUAGUCCACGCCGUAAACGACGUCGACUUGGAGGUUGUUCCCUUGAGGAGUGGCUUCCGGAGCUAACGCGUUAAGUCGACCGCCUGGGGAGUACGGCCGCAAGGUUAAAACUCAAAUGAAUUGACGGGGGCCCGCACAAGCGGUGGAGCAUGUGGUUUAAUUCGAUGCAACGCGAAGAACCUUACCUGGCCUUGACAUCCACAGAACUUUCCAGAGAUGGAUUGGUGGCCUUCGGGAACUGUGAGACAGGUGCUGACAUGGCUGUCGUCAGGCUCGUGUUGUGAAAUGUUGGGUUAAGUCCCGCAACGAGCGCAACCCUUAUCCUUUGUUGCCAGCGAUUCGGUCGGGAACUCAAAGGAGACUGCCGGUGAUAAACCGGAGAAGGGUGGGGAUGACGUCCAAGUCAUCAUGGCCCUUACGGCCCAGGGCUACACACGUGCUACAAUGGCGCAUACACAAGAGAAGCGACCUCGCGAGAGCAAGCGGACCUCAUAAAGUGCGUCGUAGUCCGGAUCGGAGUCUGCAACUCGACUCCGUGAAGUCGGAAUCGCUAGUAAUCGUAGAUCAGAAUGCUACGGUGAAUACGUUCCCGGGCCUUGUACACACCGCCCGUCACACCAUGGGAGUGGGUUGCAAAAGAAGUAGGUAGCUUAACCUUCGGGAGGGCGCUUACCACUUUGUGAUUCAUGACUGGGGUGAAGUCGUAACAAGGUAACCGUAGGGGAACCUGCGGCUGGAUCACCUCCUU
rnacentral:rRNA from 1 species